UUUUUUUUUAACAGCCGAUGACGACGAAGUGAAAGACGAAGAACUUUGUUUGAUCGAUCUUACAAAGUUGGAAGAUGAUUAUCGAGAGGAUUCGCCGGAAGAGACCAACGCGAUCCCUUUAACCCAAUCGCAGUCUGAUUUUCCGUUUACAUCUCCUGCUCGCUGGUCUCCCUUAACGCUGGCGGGUCCGUCAACGGCCAUUCCAGGCAGAGGAGAAGGCUUGAUUGCGCCAAAGACUCCAGACAUCGAAUCCUUGCUCCGAGGGGAAAUCAUCGAAAACGA